GUAGGGAAUAUUGCGCAAUGGGCGAAAGCCUGAUCCAGCCAUGCCGCGUGUGUGAAGAAGGUCUUCGGAUUGUAAAGCACUUUAAGUUGGGAGGAAGGGUAGUAACCUAAUACGUUGCUACUUUGACGUUACCGACAGAAUAAGCACCGGCUAACUUCGUGCCAGCAGCCGCGGUAAUACGAAGGGUGCAAGCGUUAAUCGGAAUUACUGGGCGUAAAGCGCGCGUAGGUGGUUCAGUAAGUUGGAAGUGAAAUCCCCGGGCUCAACCUGGGAACUGCUUUCAAAACUGCUGAGCUAGAGUACGGUAGAGGGUGGUGGAAUUUCCUGUGUAGCGGUGAAAUGCGUAGAUAUAGGAAGGAACACCAGUGGCGAAGGCGACCACCUGGACUGAUACUGACACUGAGGUGCGAAAGCGUGGGGAGCAAACAGGAUUAGAAACCCCUGUAGUCC
rnacentral:rRNA from 1 species